rnacentral:tRNA from 1 species
UCCUCCGUAGCUCAAUCGGCAGAGCAUUCGGCUGUUAACCGAAGGGUUACUGGUUCGAGUCCAGUCGGAGGAGCC